AGCUGUAACUCGUUGGCCCAACGGGUUGAUAGCGUCGACCCGACGCGACCCCAUCCUGCGCCGCCAGCUCCUCCGCUUGGGCGCGGAGGCGAGUGAGCGGCGGCGGCGGGCGCGCCGUCUUCCCCCGACAGCGGCGACUCCGGCGGAUCUCCACUCCGAUGCUGAGGCGUUAGUGCACCAAGAUGUUGACGCACCAGGACCAUAGAGGAAUACGGGAGCAGAACUUUCAAACUGGUGAAGGCAUUAUGUAGAACUUUCAAACUUGUCUUGAGAAGUAACGUUGGGUGUAGUUACAAGAAUGGAUGUUGCUGGUUUUGCUUGUAACUUGCUUAUGAUACUUAAAAAAUAGAGUCGAAGCCUGUUGAAUUUAACUUUCAAUUUAAGUCAUGGUUAUGAAUAAUGAUGUUUGAAAUGAUUGCA